rnacentral:rRNA from 1 species
CCUACGGGAGGCAGCAGUAGGGAAUCUUCCACAAUGGGCGAAAGCCUGAUGGAGCAACGCCGCGUGGGUGAUGAAGGCCUUCGGGUUGUAAAACUCUGUCAUUCGGGACGAACCGGAGUCUGAGGAAAUGCAGACUCUCUGACGGUACCGGAGGAGGAAGCCCCGGCUAACUACGUGCCAGCAGCCGCGGUAAUACGUAGGGGGCAAGCGUUGUCCGGAUUCACUGGGCGUAAAGCGCGCGCAGGCGGUGAUGUAAGUCUGAGGUGAAAACCCGAAGCUCAACUUCGGGACUGCCUUGGAUACUGCGUCACUUGAGGAUAGGAGAGGCAAGGGGAAUUCCACGUGUAGCGGUGAAAUGCGUAGAGAUGUGGAGGAACACCUGUGGCGAAGGCGCCUUGCUGGCCUAUUUCUGACGCUGAGGCGCGAAAGCGUGGGGAGCAAACAGGAUUAGAUACCCUGGUAGUCCACGCUGUAAACGAUGAGUGCUAGGUGUAGGUGGGCUCAUACCCAUCUGUGCCGAAGCUAACGCAUUAAGCNCNCCGCGNGGAGUACGGUCGCGAGACGUAGAACGUACGAAGAAGUUAGACGGACGUAGAGGACGUUGGCCGACGGACGACGACGAGGGGAGGUAGG